AUCCAGCCGACGAGUCUCAAAUAGGACGAAACGCGCAUUCUGGAU
rnacentral:hammerhead_ribozyme from 1 species